rnacentral:rRNA from 1 species
UACGUAGGGGGCAAGCGUUGUCCGGAUUUAUUGGGCGUAAAGCGCUCGCAGGUGGUUCAUUGCGUCGUGCGUGAAAGACCCCGGCUCAACUGGGGAGGGUCGUGCGAAACGGGUGAACUAGAGGCCAGUAGGGGGAUGCGGAAUUCCGGGUGUAGUGGUGGAAUGCGUAGAGAUCCGGAGGAACACCAGCGGCGAAGGCGGCAUCCUGGACUGGUCCCGACACUCAGGAGCGAAAGCGUGGGGAGCGAUCCGG